UCUGAAAGAGACACAGCUGAGGUAUUUGUUUCUGCAGAUCUUAUGUUAAUAUGACGUUUUACUAAGUUAUUGCAUUUAUUACCAAGUUGAUUUAUUGUUACUUUGUUAUAACUCGUGUUUGAAAUAUGUUGUUUUUUUCAUUCAAGCAUCACAAUAAUUCAGUUGCAGAUUCAGCUAAAUGCUUACAGUAAAUGGCCGCUGUAUUAGGCAAACCUCCUUAUCUACUCAUUAAAACAGUUCUGACAUGCUGAAGCUUCAAAUCAGGCAUCAAAAUAGGGAAGAAACGUGACUUUGAAUGUGGCUUGGUGCCAUAUGGGCUGGUCUGAAUAUCUGAGGUUGUAUUGAGAAUUUCCCAAACAACUUUCUCUUUACUGAAUGUUUACUGAAUAGUCUGAAAAUGGGGAAAAAAAUUCUGUGUUCAGGAGUUCUCUGUCGCUCACAGAGGUUAAAGUGUCUUGCCAGAGCAGAGUGGCCAUGCUGUUUCGAGCUGACAGGAAGGCACAAUCCAGACAAUCCAAAUAAUCACUUGUUACAACAAAGGUAUGAAGAAGAGCACGUUGAACCUUAAAGGAGAUUGACUACAACAGCAGAAGACCACACCGGGUGCCACUCCUGUCAGCUAAGUGCAGCGCCGUGGUUAGCUGAUACUAACAGGAAACUGAAGUUGCAGCUCACACCUGCUCACCAGAAUUGGACAGCGGAAGAUUGGAAAAACAUUGACCGGUCUGAUUGAUGGAGGUGGUGUAAUGGUGUGAGGGAUAUUUUCGGACACACUUUGGCCUCAAUACUAGUUGAGCAUUGUUCAAAACACCACAGCCUACCUGAGAAUUGGUGCUGACCAUGUCCGUCCCUUUAUGACCACACCGUAUCCAUCUUCUGAUGGCUGCUUCCAACAGGAUAACGCCCCAUGUUAUAAAGCUCAGAUCAUCUCAAACUGGUUUCUUGAACACAGGUUUGUCGCUAGCCAUGGGUGUUCGGGGCUCUACUUCCAGAUGUUUUUUCAGUACCCUCCGAUCUCCCGACUGAAUGAAAUUUUUUUUAGAGGAAGCCUGUAUUUAGGCAUCUGUUUGCCGCAGUUUAUCUGGGGCGAAGUCCCACUCCCAUCUCUGUCCGACCAAUCACAGCAGAGCAUUCCUCCUUUAGGUCCAACGUCAGCACCUGUUAGCUGUCACUGCUGAUUGGUCUGGAUCUGACAAACUGGUGGUUGCUAACCAGUUAAAGCAAGGCAUGAAAUGGCCACUGCAUCAGAUACAAACUCAGGUCGGUGAAUUGGUGAAGUGCUUCUGACGCGUUCAUUGCUACAAGUCAUGGUUGCCAUCUGUUUCUCACACACUGAGUCAACGAUUCACACAUAUUCCUCACAAUCUGUCUGACCUUCAUUUUCUCACUUAGGCCUAAUCUGAAAAAAAAUAAAUAAUAAUAAUUCAUCAUAACAAAGUUAUUUAGACCAUCAAGAGAAACCUGAGAAAAAUACAAAUAAAUCUAUUGAUUCUUAAAAUCAUUCAUGCUGCUCAAAGUAAUGCCAGGUCUAAACAGCAGCACAGCCUCUUAUGCUUUCUCCUCUCAAACUGCACACGCAGUUGACAAUGAGUAACCAUGGCUACAGUGAGUAACCAUGAUGACAGGGAGACGCUCUGUACCUCGCUCUGAAACACUCAUUCCCAUUCCCAAUAAAAGAGCUCAGGUUAUUAUGGCCAUUUAAAUUGAAGAAUGCACGUCAGUGCUGAAACCUUGUAAAAACAUACUGUGUAUGUUAGUAGUCAGUUAUGUUUUUUCUAUAGGAAUCAUAUCAGAGAGGCAAAGAAAUGAACUCUUCAUUUGAGUGCAUUUGUGUAAUUUACUGUUCCAAGAUAUGCAUGUCUUUGUAUACGAAGUCUGCCACAAACAAGUUGACUUAGGUCUGUGUACAAUGUUAGGUCCCACAUUCACUGUGGAUUCAUAAAUGAAAUAAAGGAAAUGUAGAAAUAUAGAGAGCGAUGACAAAAAUAGCAUGAAAGAGGCGUGAUUGUUAAAACACUGUGUGCCUGUAAACACAGACAUCAUUAGGUGGAGAGGGCACAGAAUGCCAUAGAAAUAAAUAUCCUGCAGGACACUGAGUGAUGCACGUCAUGUCUGCCCGCAUUAACCCCUUAAGGCCUAGAGUAUCAUAUUUGAUACAUGGGUUUUGUCAGUUUUGGAGACUUCUGCAUCAUCAGUGUGAUUUUUUCCCCCCUAGUUAAAUUACACAGUACAUUUUUAACAAAUAAAAAAAAACCUUGCCAUGUUUUUGGUGAGGUUUUUUUCCCCACAAUCCUGAUAAGGAUAGGCAGAAGAUAAUGGAUGUACGGAUAUAGAAAAUACAAUAAAAAUUAAAACUCAUAUAUGCAAAUGAAUAUUUAAUUCAAACAAAUUCAAAAAAUGUGAUUUGGGCUAUAAAUCAUAAAUAUUGUAACUGUCACUUAGUAGUGACUUGGAUAACUAUUUAGCUUUUGAUGACAAGAAAAUUUGCUUAUUCUGCAUUUUGAUAUUUGUUGAAUGAUAAAUACAGUGUUUGAGUCCACGUAUAAAGGAAGUUUAUACAUAACGAGUUAAUAACCUAAUCGUCAGAUCAAAAUUGGGUGGCACCUGCUGACUGUUUUCUUUUUACAACCAGGACAUGAAAGCGAGGGGGAGAGAGCAGAAGGGGGUUAAGAGUGGAGCAGGUUCAUUAGACAACAAAAGAGCAGAAAGGUGAAAAGAAAAGAAAAGGACGGAUGAAACAAGCUUUCUAACUAAAUAGUGACACAGUAUGGUCUCACAACUAACUACUUUACUUUAAUGUUACAUUUUUUAAAGGUUUUAUACUGCUGCUUAAAGUUAAAAAAUGGUGAGGAACUCAAAUUGCACUGAUUAUUUAUUUCAGUGUCAUCCUGUGACAUUUUAGUCUUUGGCAUAUAUUAAUUUUUUUUUUGAAAUUUAGUAAAUAGCUUUAAGAGUGGCAGUGUUAUUGAGUGAAAAUUCAAAAGCCUUUGACGCCGGCCUAAGCCCCCAGUGUUACAAGAGCCUAGCAAUGCUCUUGAACAUAACAAUGAGUUCACUGAACUCAAAUGGCCUCUGCAGUCACCAGAUUUCAAGCCAAUAGAGCACCUUUGGAACCUCUGUGGUGAAAUGAGAAAUUUGCAUUCUGGAUGUGCCACCGACAUAUCUGCAGCAACUGUGUGAUUCUAUCAGGCCAAUACAGACUGAAAUCUGAGAGCAAUGUUUCCACCAGCAUGUCGAAUCUGUGCCCUGUUGAAUUAAGGCAGUGCUGAGGGCAACAGGGGAUCUAAAACAAUACUAACAAGAGCUACGCAACAAAGUAUAUUUUAUUACUCAAAUUAAAAAGAUUCAUUGCUUUACUGUAGAAAUAUUUUUUUGCCAACAGCCAUAAUUGUAGAAUCAAUAUUAUAUUUUAUUAAAUAUGUGUUGUAGGAUAGGAUAGGGUCAAUCAUUGAUGACAUAUUUCCUUUCGUUCGCAGGCCAUAAAAUACUACUGUUUAUUACACACAAGGCGUCCUUGGGUGUAAAGCAGCGAUGCGUGUGUUAUGGCAAUAGUGACAGGAGUUUCACUCCUAACUAGUAUUUCAAAUCAAACCACAACCUUUCUGUAAACCUAACCGAAAUGAAAAUUAAACUGUAAGUGAAAGAGGACACAAACCACAGCUUCUGUCAUGAUUGAUUGGUCUGUAUUAGAAACAGAGGCUUCAGCUUUAUUAUAGCCAAACACGUUUUAUAACCGUCAGUUGCAAAUUUACAGUGAUUUACAAACCAGCUAUUGACCAAACAGUAAGCAGCAAUAAUAAUGACUGUUGUAAUACACUGUUAACUAAAGUUUAAUUAGCGAUUCAUUUUUAUUAACAGUGGCAUUAUAAAGUGUUACGAAGUCUUUUUGCAUUUAGGAAAAUCUGCUGCGUUACCACACAGAUUUGAAAAUGGAUCAGAAUCAUUAUUGCAAAUCUGCACAGUGGAUGAAUGUGGCAUACGAGAAUAUUUGAAGAAGCAGUUAAUGGUAAACACGGAGUAAUUAUCUGGUAUUUAUUAGCAUAUUUUUUAGAAUUCAUGAGAUUGAUUUAUCCCAGCUUUUAUUAAGAAAUGAAAAACUAUGUAUUUAAUUAAAAAUUUGGGAUUUAGGAGGUGUUGCAAUGCUUUACCAACCGUGGCUCUUAUUGUAGUGGUUUACACAUUUGCCUACCAAACAAAAGAUCUCUAGUUUUUUUUCCUGGAAGGAGACAGAAGUUUCUUUGUGGUUGCAUGAGGAAGAAAACUCUGCCAAAUCAAACAUGUGGAGCUACCCACUGUGGCAAUCCCUGGAGAAUAAGAGAGCAGCUGAAUGUAGCUAAAGAAACUUCUUUUUCUGUAAUGUUUUACUAACUCUUGGUUAUUGGCAAACCCCUCCCCCAGCCAGAUGAGCAAAUCACAUCCCAGCAAUACUUGCAAAUCCUGUUGAUGGUUUUAAACUGUAAUCUGAUGUCAUGAGACAUGGGAUGACAUGAGAAUGCAGACAGCCCAGAAAAGAUGAGCUGACUGCUUCAACCAGUUUAACUGGUUCCUGUUGAAUUUGUUUUCCCCUGGGUCUAUCUGCUCAGUAUUAGCUACUCAAACUUGUUGCAAUACACUGUCUAUUAGAUGAAUUUGUGCACCUGUUAAUUUAACUAGAAAUAAUUAAUUGCAUCUUCCUUCAAAAAUCAA